rnacentral:rRNA from 1 species
UACGUAGGUGGCAAGCGUUGUCCGGAGUUACUGGGUGUAAAGGGAGCGCAGGCGGGAAGCCAAGUCAGCUGUGAAAACUACGGGCUUAACUUGUAGACUGCAGUUGAAACUGGUUUUCUUGAGUGAAGUAGAGGUUGGCGGAAUUCCGAGUGUAGCGGUGAAAUGCGUAGAUAUUCGGAGGAACACCGGUGGCGAAGGCGGCCAACUGGGCUUUAACUGACGCUGAGGCUCGAAAGUGUGGGGAGCAAACAGG